rfam:Lodderomyces elongisporus NRRL YB-4239 supercont1.2 genomic scaffold, whole genome shotgun sequence.
GUCGACGUACUUCAUAGGAUCAUUUCUAUAGUAGACGUCCCUCUUUGACUCUUCAAAAGAGCCACUGAAUCCAACUUGGUUGAUGAGUUAUGAUUACCCUUACACCCUCAGAGUGAGAAACACAAUUUUUUUGCUUGACUAUGGUUCUCGAUAAUCUAGUCAUCUAGUUUGUUUUGCCUUGUUAGCCAAUUACUUUACUGUAAUUGCGAAGGAGCAAUGAUCUUGACCUUUUUUACUUUAUGCCUUUUUGGAGGAAAUUGUUUAAAGGUGGGUGUAAGUGGCUGUCUGACAAGU